rnacentral:rRNA from 1 species
UACGAAGGGGGCUAGCGUUGUUCGGAAUCACUGGGCGUAAAGGGCGCGUAGGCGGCUUGAUAAGUCGAACGUGAAAUCCCUGGGCUCAACCCAGGAACUGCGUCCGAUACUGGCAGGCUUGAAUCCGGGAGAGGGAUGCGGAAUUCCAGGUGUAGCGGUGAAAUGCGCAGAUAUCAGGAAGAACACCUAUGGCGAAGGCAGCUCUCUGGGACGGUACUGACGCUGAGACGCGAAAGCGUGGGGAGCGAACAGG